UACGGAGGAUCCGAGCGUUAUCCGGAUUUAUUGGGUUUAAAGGGUGCGCAGGCGGGAAAUUAAGUCGGCGGUGAAAUUUUGCAGCUCAACUGUAAAAGUGCCUUCGAAACUGGUUUCCUUGAGUGUAGAUGAAGUAGGCGGAAUUUGUGGUGUAGCGGUGAAAUGCAUAGAUAUCACGAGGAACUCCGAUUGCUAAGGCAGCUUACUAAGCCAUAACUGACGCUCAAGCACGAAGGCGUGGGGAUCAAACAGGAUUAGAUACCCCGGUAGUCCCU
rnacentral:rRNA from 1 species